AUUGAACGCUGGCGGAAUGCUUUACACAUGCAAGUCGAGCGGCAGCGCGGGGCAACCUGGCGGCGAGCGGCGAACGGGUGAGUAAUACAUCGGAACGUGCCCAGACGUGGGGGGAUAACUACUCGAAAGAGUGGCUAAUACCGCAUACGAUCUACGGAUGAAAGCGGGGGAUCGCAAGACCUCGCGCGUCUGGAGCGGCUGAUGGCAGAUUAGGUAGUUGGUGGGAUAAAAGCCUACCAAGCCAACGAUCUGUAGCUGGUCUGAGAGGAUGAUCAGCCACACUGGGACUGAGACACGGCCCAGACUCCUACGGGAGGCAGCAGUGGGGAAUUUUGGACAAUGGGCGAAAGCCUGAUCCAGCCAUUCCGCGUGCAGGAUGAAGCGUUUCGGCGUGUAAACUGCUUUUAUCACCGAAGAUUAUGACUGUAGGUGAAGAAUAAGGACCGGCUAACUACGUGCCAGCAGCCGCGGUAAU
rnacentral:rRNA from 1 species